rnacentral:rRNA from 1 species
GGCCAGACUCCUACGGGAGGCAGCAGUGAGGAAUAUUGGUCAAUGGCCGAGAGGCUGAACCAGCCAAGUCGCGUGAGGGAGGACGGCCCUACGGGUUGUAAACCUCUUUUGUCAGGGAGCAAGGGACAGGUCGUGACCUGUUGUGAGAGUGCCUGAAGAAAAAGCAUCGGCUAACUCCGUGCCAGCACCCGCGGUAAUACGUAUGGUGCAAGCGUUAUCCGGAUUUACUGGGUGUAAAGGGAGCGCAGGCGGCACGGCAAGCCUGAUGUGAAAGCCCGCGGCCCAACCGCGGGACUGCAUUGGGAACUACCGGGCUGGAGUGCCGGAGAGGUAGGCGGAAUUCCUAGUGUAGCGGUGAAAUGCGUAGAUAUUAGGAGGAACACCAGUGGCGAAGGCGGCCUACUGGACGGUGACUGACGCUGAGGCUCGAAAGCGUGGGGAGCAAACAGGAUUAGAUACCCCUGUA